CACGUAAUGUCCUUUUAAUUUACCUAUAAUUUAAAUCAUCUUUACAUAAUUACAUUAUGAGUGUUUGAAGUUGAAUUUUACAUUACGUUUUCUGGUAUUUCAGUCCAACAAAUGGAGGAAAGGAUUGUUUUUACCUUACACCUUUAAAACAUGUCAAAGAUGGACAAUGGUAUAGCAAAACUCCUAUUAGACACCACACUUUACAAGGCACUGUGAAACGUUUGUGCACACGUAUUGGACUAGCUGGAAAACGUACAAACCAUAGCCUCCGAGCUUCAGCAGCUACAUGUCUUUAUAAUGCUGGCAUAGAAGAACAACGUGUGGCCGAAACAACAGGUCAUCGUAGUAAAGCAGUAAGAGUUUGCAAAAGGACCUCUACCGAUCAACACAUAGAGGCUUCCAACAUCUUGUAUGGAUUAAGACCGUCAGAUGGAAGUAAAAAGGCAAAAUCAUCAGCAGCUGCCGGUGCACCAGUUGGUAGUGCGUCGGUUGAAUGUUCAACAGACGAAAGUGGCAAAAAACUGUGACUUGCAACUUUUCUUUCAAUUUUUCGUUAUGAUUAAUUCAUGUAAAAUAAAAUGAAUAAAAUCUGUUAACAAACA